CCCUUGUGGUGUUGGUUCAGCCGUGUUGAUGGGUAGGAGAGCGUCGUGUGGCCAGCGAAGCGGCGGUGUAAACCAGCCGUGGAGGCUACACGAGUGAGAAUGCAGGCAUGAGUAGCGAAAGACGGGUGAGAAACCCGUCCUCCGAAAGAUCAAGGUUUCCAGGGCCAGGCUAAUCCGCCCUGGGUAAGUCGGGACCUAAGGCGAGGCCGACAGGCGUAGUCGAUGGACAACGGGUUUAUAUUCCCGUACUGGCGAAAAACCGCCCAAACUAAUCCAGAAAUGCUAAGCAUCUGAAUCCUCUAGAUGGAUCCCUUCGGGGUGAAGCGUGGGGCCUAGCGUGCGACCCUAUGCUGGUGCGGUUAGCGUAUUAACAGGUGUGACGCAGGAAGGUAGCUGAGCCGGGCGAUGGUUGUCCCGGUCUAAGGAUGUAGGCCGAGAGAUAGGCAAAUCCGUCUCUCAUGAAGGUUGAGACCCGAUGGGUAGUCCUCACGGACGAAAUCAGUGAUCCUAUGCUGCCAAGAAAAGCAUCGACGCGAGGUUUUAGUCACCCGUACCCCAAACCGACUCAGGUGAUCAGGUAGAGAAUACUAAGGAGAUCGAGAGAAUCGUGGUUAAGGAACUCGGCAAAAUGCCCCCGUAACUUCGGGAGAAGGGGGGCCUGAGGCGUGAAGGGAUUUACUCCUGGAGCGUUCGAAGGCCGCAGAGACCAGUGGGAAGCGACUGUUUACUAAAAACACAGGUCCGUGCCAAGUCGCAAGACGAUGUAUACGGACUGACGCCUGCCCGGUGCUGGAAGGUUAAGAGGAACGGUUAGCCGCAAGGCGAAGCUGAGAAUUUAAGCCCCAGUAAACGGCGGUGGUAACUAUAACCAUCCUAAGGUAGCGAAAUUCCUUGUCGGGUAAGUUCCGACCUGCACGAAUGGCGUAACGACUUCCCAGCUGUCUCAACCGCGAACUCGGCGAAAUUGCAUUACGAGUAAAGAUGCUCGUUACGCGCAGCAGGACGGAAAGACCCCGUGACCUUUACUACAGCUUGGUAUUGGUGUUCGGUGUGGCUUGUGUAGGAUAGGUGGGAGACUGUGAAGCUUGGACGCUAGUUCAGGUGGAGUCAACGUUGAAAUACCACUCUGGUCAUAUUGGAUAUCUAACUUCGAACCGUGAUCCGGUUCAGGGACAGUGCCUGGUGGGUAGUUUAACUGGGGCGGUUGCCUCCUAAAAAGUAACGGAGGCGCCCAAAGGUUCCCUCAACCUGGUUGGCAAUCAGGUGUCGAGUGUAAGUGCACAAGGGAGCUUGACUGUGAGACUGACAAGUCGAGCAGGGACGAAAGUCGGGACUAGUGAUCCGGCAGUGGCUUGUGGAAGCGCUGUCGCUCAACGGAUAAAAGGUACCUCGGGGAUAACAGGCUGAUCUUGCCCAAGAGUCCAUAUCGACGGCAUGGUUUGGCACCUCGAUGUCGGCUCGUCGCAUCCUGGGGCUGGAGUAGGUCCCAAGGGUUGGGCUGUUCGCCCAUUAAAGCGGUACGCGAGCUGGGUUUAGAACGUCGUGAGACAGUUCGGUCCCUAUCCGCUGCGCGCGCAGGAAAUUUGAGAAGAUCUAUCCCUAGUACGAGAGGACCGGGAUGGACGAACCUCUGGUGUGUCAGUUGUUCCGCCAGGAGCACCGCUGAUUAGCUACGUUCGGAACGGAUAACCGCUGAAAGCAUCUAAGCGGGAAGCCGGCUUCGAGAUGAGAUUUCCAUCCCUUCGGGGGAGAGGCUCGCAGCUAGACUACUGCGUUGAUAGGCCGGAUGUGGAAGAGGGGACUAAAGACCCUCGGAGCUGACCGGUACUAAUAAGCCAAUAAUUUGAUAACACA
rnacentral:rRNA from 1 species